rnacentral:snRNA from 1 species
ACGGCGUCCUUGGCCUUUUGGCUAAGAUCAAGUGCAUAUCUGUUCUUACCAGUUUACUAUCUGAUAUGUCCUCUAUCCGAGAACAAUAUUUAUGGAUUUUGAGUAGGGAGAUGGAAUAGGAGCUUGCUGCAUCCACUCCACGCAUCGACCUGGUAUUGCGGUACUUCCAGGAACGGUGCACUCCUC